CGUGCCUCCAAGAUGACAAAGAAAAGAAGGAACAAUGGUCGUGCCAAAAAGGGCCGCGGCCACGUGCAGCCUAUUCGCUGCACUAACUGUGCCCGAUGCGUGCCCAAGGACAAGGCCAUUAAGAAAUUCGUCAUUCGAAACAUAGUGGAGGCCGCAGCAGUCAGGGACAUUUCUGAAGAUCUUAGCACCUACUAUUUGCAAGACUCCCCCUAUGUUAACCUUUACAGCAACUCUCGGAUGGAUGUUUUAUUAUUGAGAGAACUGAGAGACAGAGGUCAUUAAAUAUUUGUCCAAGAUCCUACAGCUGCAACAUGG
rnacentral:lncRNA from 10 species